rnacentral:lncRNA from 1 species
UUUAUAUGCCAGAAAGAACAAAAACUCAGAAUGAAAUAUUUAAAGUUAUGGAUGAGAUAAAAAUAUUUUUGAUAAAAGUUAUUAUGAACUAAUUGAUGGGAAAUAUAGACAGGCUCGAGUAUGGCAGAGAGACUACAGAGAUCGAAGAUUAAUGCAACCUGAUGCGGCAUAUUAUAAAGAGAUGACACCACCACUGAGUAUGCCUGACAACCCCAUAAAUGCAGUCACCACAAAAUUUGUGCGUACAUCAACUAACAAAAUGAGAUGUCCUAUAUUUUGUGUGGCAUGGACACCUGAAGGUAGAAGACUGGUGCAUCUAGCGGUGCAUUUACUUUAUGAAAUGGAUUAACUUUUAAUUUUGAAGCUAUUUUACAGGGAGGUUUAACCUCGGAUGCCGAGUCACUUAAUAAUUUACGAGAGCUUCUCGUCAUAAUAAGAAUAUUACUUUUUGAAUGAAAGCUGUCAUCUACCUGUGUUUACAAAAAUGUCAGAUAAUUUGGAUGUUCUGUAACUCUUGUUUAAAUUGUUGACAAAAACUCUGAUUACACAUGGUUCAGAACCUGAGAAUACAUUAUUAGAUGAAUGUAGCCUUCUCCCAAACCAAGUGCUGAUAAUUGAAUUAGGAACACAAGCUUUAGGUGUGUAUUUUGCACUUGCAUUUGUGACAAUAACAGUGUAAUUAUUUAUCACUUUUCUUUUUUUCUUUAUGAUUUCAUUUGAAAUUUAAAAUCUAGUCAUUAUCGUAAAUAACAGGAGUAAUCUGCUUACGCAUUAUUAUGCGUCAAUUGUGGCCAAGGUUGUAGAGGAGAUGUGAAUAUUAAGUAAUCAUGGUGCAUUACUUAGACAUGUAAUUCUCAAAUGCAGAGAAAUGAAGGAAAUGAGCGUGCUAGUAGAUUUAUGUCGACAGAAUUAUAAAUAGAUUUUAAAUGUAUAUGCAGUUUUAAACAUAUAUAUACCCGUCAAUGACGAUUUCUCAAUUUUAGCGUCUUUUCAGCUUGGUUUUAUUUAAUCUUCUAUAUUAAUAAUGUUAAAAAAUCACGGUAUUUAGAGGGUCCUCUAAUAUUAUUGCCUUGAAAUACCAUGUUUCAACAACUUACCAAGUCAUCUUUCAACAAAAAAGAAUAAGUAUUUUAGAAUUGUUGGAAAAUUCUUUGUGUAUUCUCUCUUUAUUAAAGAAUCAUAAAAACUGCA